AUACCUUUCUCGGGCUUUUGGUUAAGAUAAGGUGUAAUAUUUGUUCUUAUCAGUUUAAUAUAGGAUAUGUUCACUCUGAUCUUACAUUUAUUUUUUAUGGGUAUCAAAUAUGUUUGUGUGCCGUCGCAAUGCACGGGCGUUGUACUAGUC
rnacentral:snRNA from 1 species